rnacentral:ncRNA from 1 species
UCAAAAGCUGCGACGGGAACGGAGCAGGGAAAUGCCUUACAGAGAGCGGCAGUUUGGUGUAAUGCCGCAGGAAAGCCCUGAGCAGAUCAUCCCCGAGCCUGCGGAGUGAAUGUUUUUCUUUAGCUUCGCACGUUUCCUGCGUUAAAGGAUAAUGAGUGGCUGCAUUUUGCGGCAAACGAAGUGGUAACACGGAGAAUUUUUACGUCUUCGCC